AUUACAUCCUUUUGCUGGCCAAUGAAAACCCAGAAGGGCAUUUCUGGCGGGCCAGAGAGACACUGGACCAAUGCUAUAGAUUGUGAGCCAUUUUCUGGACCGCUUCGCAGAGAAGGCGGGACUUCUGGCUUUUUACCAGCCCCUUCCCCUGCUGUCUGUGGAGCGGGCCGUGUCACCUGGUGGUUUACUGCCGCAAGGGCGCUUCCGGAGGUUCGUGAGAACUGAAAAGUCAAGAACUUUAGGCCUCUGUGAUUAUCACCUUCCCCAGAGUCCAGAUGACCGUGGCGUGUCCGGAGGGUUCCAUCCAAAGACUGAGCGUGUGCACCAUCUCCUAUGGGGAUAUCCGUCGAACGGAGAUAGACAGAGGCUUCAAAAGACCUCCAGGUCACGACUCUCGCCCGGCCAUUUUCCUGGCUCGCUUUUCCUUGCUACUGACAUAAUAGAUGCUGACAUGAUCUUUGACUAGGACCUCCCGAGACUUUCCCCGAGCGUUUGUUUUUACUUGAUGCCGUGCUUCUCUGCUACACAAUUGCAGAGGUGGCUUUUACUACACUGUUAAUGGUCUGUCAUGGGAUGAAUCACCUUGAACUGGGGUUGACUUCUCACAAACCACUUGGUCUUCCAUAGGAAUCUCUGCUUCCACACUACAGAGCGGGAAAAGGGAAACCAGGAUAGUUGGAAUGAAGCUAUGACCAAAAAGGUCAUAUACCCUGUGAAUGCAAGUCAGGUGUGGAGGGCCCUUGGAAUGGAUGGUUCUGUCUUGUCCAGACACCAAGGAGAGUAGCCAUACCUCCUUUCCGUCUUCCUCUCCCAGUUCUGACGCUUCAUCCUAUUGUUCCCUGACUCCUGGGUUCUAACUGGUGUUCGCUAAGCAUCACUUUUUCUACUUUCCCCCUUAUACUUCAUCUUUUCUGUUUCUGGCCACCACAUAACAUGUCUUGAGCUGUGAGAACAUAUUGCUCUUCAAAUGUGGCUCUACUCCGUUCCCGCAGGAUUCUUUCCAUCCAAGGCCUUCCUGGAAAUCCAUAUCUGAAGUCACAUUUAAUUUUUUUAAAAGAUUUAUUUAUUUAUUUAUUUAUUUAUUUAUUUAUUAUGUAUAAGUACACUGUUGCUGUCUUCAGACACACCAGAAAAGACAUCAGAUCUCGUUACAGAUGGUUGUGAGCCACCAUGUGGUUGCUGGGAUUUGAACUCAGGACCUCUGGAAGAGCAGUCAGUGCUCUUAACCACUGAGCCAUCUCCCCAGCCCCUCAGCUUGUACUCUUACUAGCCUAGCCCACUCUAGUCCCUUCUGCCACAAAGGUCAACUAUGUAACAGCCCAGAUCAUCCAUCCACAGGGUUUUGCUUCUGUGCUUCCUUUUGCUAAGAGAUGGCUGACACUGAAUUUUGUAGCUAAUGCUGUGAUGUUAGAACUGAAGAGAAGAUGUCAACCACAGAGAAUGAAAACUGAGGAAAAAGAGCAACUUGGACUUGUCAUCCACUUGCAACUGCUGUGCUUAACUUCUAGAGACCGGACAGUUUUCUAUCCAGUCUGUGGCACACAGGGAUAAUUCUGCUCUGAACACGGCGUCGCUGGUAGGUGAAGGAGUGGGUGGUGUCACGGGAACAAUUAGAGGUAAAUAACUCUCCUACUUGCAGAUGAUGUAAACCCUAAUCAAUAAAGCCUCGACAAACUGUUUUUGGUGGUGAAUGAAAUCAAAAGUUCUAUUCAGUAUCUGGUUUCAGGUACUAAUUUGAUUUGGGGCUCAUAUUAUAGCAGGAAGUCUUUCUCUGAGCCAGACAUUAUGCAGUAUGCCUGUAAUUACAACGCUUGAAAGGCUGAAGCAGGGGGAAUGCAAAUUAGAGGCCAGACUUGACUCCAUAGGUACAAGGUCAGCCUGGGCUACAUGGCAAGAUCUUUUCUUAACCAACACCCUGCCCCCCUCAAAAAAAAAAAAUCAAUAAACAAAAGGAACUUUUACUCAGCAAUGCUUUCCUCAGUGGCCGUUGAUUGGCAGGCCUCCCUUUAGAGUCAAGAUAGAUGUCAGCAGACUUAUUUCUAAUUGGUCAGAGUCCUGGGAGCUUAGGUUUGGAAUAUUCACACACACACACACACACACACACACACACACACACACACACACAUAUUACAUCACAUCACAUCACAUAGAACAGGCUAACUACCCUACACAGAUCUUUUAAG
rnacentral:lncRNA from 1 species